UGGUGUGAAUUGCGAAUUCCAGGGAAUCAUCGAAUCUCUUGAACGCAACUUGCGCUCUCUGGUAUUCCGGAGAGCAUGCCUGUUUGAGUGUCAU
rnacentral:rRNA from 1 species